ensembl:lncRNA
AAGAGGGUCCUCGCACUGCAGUGCUCGGGCCCUAAUAAUAAUAAACGAAGCAGAUACAAGAGGGUCCUCACACCAUCGGUGCUCGGGCCCUAAAUAUAGCUGCAAGCAGCGAUGGCGGGCCCGAGCUGUCAGCGCAAACGCCACCCCGGUGGCAUCAGUCAAAGUGUGCCCAGCGAGCAGAUACACAGUAACCGUCCAGCACAGGGGUGUCCAACCCUGUUAAUGGCAAUCGACUGUCCUGCAAAGUUUAGCUCCAACCCUAAUCAAAUACACCUAAAGCAACUAAUUAAGGUCUUCAGGAUCGCUUGAAAAUUAAAGGUAGGUGUGACUGAUUAGAGUUGGAGCUGAACUUUGCAGGACAGUCGAUCACCAGGAACAGGAUUGGGCACACCUGAUUUAGCAGUUUGGAAUUAAGAGAUACAGCAAUGAAAGGGUUAAUCCAAACCAUCAAAAGACACACACACAACAUAAUAUAUAAAAGUUGAGUAACACUUCCAAUAAGGUUUCAGUUAUUAAGAUUAAUUAUAUUAAAUUACAUUAACAACAACAACUGUAUGACAUUCAUUAAUGUGAGUCUCUCUCUCU